rnacentral:tRNA from 2 species
CAGGGUAUGGCUAAGAUAGUAAAGCAUCUCCCUUACACUGAGAAGACACCCGUGCAAAUCGGGUUACCCUGA